CAAAAAUUGAUUUAUAUUUAUUUUUGAUAAAUACAUGAUGUUUUUAGCAUGUAAAUCCAGUUAAUACAUAUAUUUUACAUCAUCAAUUGAUUUCUGAAAUCAUUGGUAAUUUUGCUAAAUAGUGCAAAGGUUGUGCUGGGAAUUUUUUCUCCAAAGUGAAUUCAUAAGACAUUUUAUGGUUUCAGUAAGUAAUCCAGAUUCAUUUUCACAGUUUUCUGGGAAAGGAAACCAGAAAGUUUUCAGACAUUUUGCUGUCAACAGGAAUAGGACUAUCAGUAAUUACAAAACUAUUGGAAAACAAAAUUAUACUGCCCUCUGGGGUGCCAGAAUUUCAGUAGUAAAAGACGUGUAAUCAGAGCCAAGCUUUGGAGUGACUUAACCCUGAUUUUCCUUCUAGCUCAGUGCAAGUCCACACUCAAGUACUCAGCUGGGCUCUUUAUUGCAUUCAGUCUGUUUUGACCUCUUUGAUGCUGUUCUCUUCCUAUAGAAGUUGCCAGAUCCCUCAGUAAUUACAAUUACAAUUGCCCAGAACAAAUGAGUGUUCUGUAUUAGACACUUUAACUGUGGUAUCUGCAAGUAAAAGUACUAGUGCUGAAACAUUUUACUAGAUUUCACAUCCUGUGUAGAGAAAUAAAUCCUCUAAUAAACAGAGAUGGAUACAAGUGAGAGGGCUUGGAACCCCAAAUAACUGGUUAAACUGGAAUUUCACAUAGGAUGACUUUCAGAGAUAUUAUUAUUUUCUUGGAGAGGAAGGGAACAGUAUAUAUAUACACAUACAUAUGUAUAAAAUUUUUCAUUUCUUACAUUUUGUAAAGGUUCACUACUUGAUUAAGCUGUAAGUCUAUUCAUAGGUAUGCACUGCCUGGAAAACUUCCAACUAACUAACCUGAAUGAAAGAUAAAAUGGAUUGUGAUAGCAGAAUCUUGCUCCCUCUAAUUAGUCCAGAUCAGUGCGCACAUGCCCAAUUUAGGUCAAUACAUCAGGCAGAGGAAAGGGCUGCAGACUGACAUUGAGAUGCUCUAUUUCACAUACUUGCCCUCUGGAAGGACUGGCAGAGGCAGUCACUUAGAUUAAAUACAGGUCAUCAAACAAGAUAUAUCAUCUAUUUCUAAAACAGACAACUUCAGCAUCUCAAAUCCCUAUGGCCUUUUACUGGGACACAUUGCAUUACUUCUUCAUCUUCUUCUGUCAAUUUACGUUAAAGUUUGCUUUGUUUAAAAGUGUAUUUCAUGUAUUCUGUGACCUUCUUGCUCAAAGCAAAGGAAUUUCUUUGGUUUAUUUAUGACCUACUCACCUUAAGCGAAACUGAAAUGUCUAAUGUUCUCACAGGGCGAGGAAUGAGAAAGAAAAGCUAAAAUAAAUUUGGACUUGAUGCAAAUUAGUCUUGUCCUGCCCGCACAACCCCAAAAUAAAUAUGUGGAAAAGAUAGGAUUAGAGGAUAUGAAAUAACGACUAAAACCUCACAUGAAUUAGCAGAAAAUUAAGUUGAAUCAGCAAGCAGACAGUUUUUCUCAUGGAACAAAAGAAAUUUAGAAAAUAGAGCCAGAUCUGAUUUUCUGUUGUAGAGAAUUUAAACUAUUAAGAGGCCUUUACAGGACGGGAUUUAGCUCAGUGGUUCCGCCGCCUGCCUAGCAAGCGCAAGGUCCCAAGUCCAAUCCCCACACCAAAAGAAAAUAAAGAGCCUUUUACUGUCAACAAACUAUGACUAUUUCAAACAUACAUUCAGUUUAGGCCUGGAAAAGAAGAAAAUUUAAUUGCUACACUUAUUUCUAUUUUAUGUAUGUAUCAAUAAGAGUAAUGUGAUUUCUUAUUGUAAGGAAUGAAUCAUUAUAAGAUGUAAGAAUGUUAAAAAUAUUCAAGAUUUUUAUUUUAAGAACUUGAGAAAUUUAGGCUUAACUUGAUUAUACUGUGCAAAAAAUUUCUAGGAGUAUGUUUUGAAAAACAAAUAACAUGUAAUUGAUUGUAACUGCCCUAUAGAUUUGCUUAUUAGUAGGUUAAAUACAUAUUUUGUGUUAAGGCAAAAUAGGCAGUUUGGAGUCUUUCAUCACAGUGUUCCUGCUAUUCAGAUGUUAGCCUGAUGUAGCAAGAGAUGAAUAAGAUGAUUGAAAAAAGUUGUGUAUCAACCUGAAAAUAAUGCCACGGUAGACUGGCAACAAAACUGGAGCGGUAUGCUUUCAGGUGUAAUUGAUAAGGGAAACAAGUGAAUCCUCUGUCCCAGGAUGAUAUUCUUUCUAGCAGCAACACUGAAAUGUCUGCUGAUAAAGCAUUCUUCUUUUUUUGUUCUUUUUGUUUUUGUUUUGUUUUGUUUUUUUGGUACCAGGGAUCGAACGCGGGUCCUUGAGCUGGCGAGGCAGACGGCAGAACCACUGAGCUAAAUCCCCAGCCCGAUAAAGCAUUCUUUUAAGGAGUUGUAUUCUGUAAGAAAAUUGCUUAUUUCAAAAGACACAAGUGCUACAAAAUUUAGAUUAAUCACUGCUUUACCAUAACUGUUUUUGUCUUCUCGGUACAUAUUUUCAUAGAUCCCUAGUCUCUGAUUUCCCCUAAAAAUUCAGAGAAUGUUUCUUUCAUGAAAAAUUUGUCUAGAAUGUAUUUUUAAAUUAGUUUUUAAAAUAUGGUUUUCUGAGUGAAUGAAAUAUCAAAAUGUAUAGAACUUGGAAUACAUAUUUCCCUAAUAUUUUUACAAAUAAUUGCAUUGACUUGACUAGACCAUAAAGUAGUAUUCCAAAUUAGAGUGAUUACAACUAUGUUGAGUGAAAUUAACUGUAUGAAAUACUGACUUUGUAUCCUGGAUUUGAAAUAUCCAAAGGGAUUUUUGUUUUAAUUGACUAUAGAAAAUUAUUGAAUGUUGUUAUAAAAUAUAUUCAUUAGAGUUCACAAUAAUUUAAAAACAGGCCUUGUUCAUAAAACACUCUUACAAAAAGGAGAUAUGAAAAAAUGUCUCUUUUAUCCACCCAAAUGUUAGAAAUUUUAGAUCCAAAACAAUUGAAAAUGAAUAGUUUUUGUAGAAUCCAUAGAUUGCA
ensembl:lncRNA